GAUGUAGAAACUUAUUAAACCCUUAUUCGAAACAAUGGGAAAAAGUAGAAAAAUAAAAAUUAUGUUAGCGGGCUUACGUGAUUAUACUAAGAGAAAACUCGCAUUAUAUGUUAAAAAAAUGUAAAUAUUGUUUAGCAUAACAAACAUAUCGAUUAACUAUAUUUGCAGAAAAUUAGAAAUCCCACCAAAGACGCAUACACAUUUAUGACAGCUCUAAAAUGUUAUAUCGCAAAAAUACAAACACAGUUAUGACAGUUCUAAAAUGUUAUUUUUCAAAAUACACAUACACAUUUAUGACAGUUUUUAAAAUGUUAUGACAUUCUGUAAGGGGGUUUAUGUAACUAUAAUAUGAGAAAACUCGCAUUAUAUGUUAAAAAAGUGUAAAUAUUGUUUAGCAUAACAAAUAUAUUGAAUAACUAUAAUUGCAGAAAAUUAGAAAUCCUUCCAAAGAUACACACACUCACACACACACACACAUUGAUGAUAGUUAUAAAAUGAUAUGAUAUUCUAUACAUUACAAUAUUGAUUAUAAAAAAUGAAAAAUAUAUAUGUUUAUGCGUUCUAUAGCAUAGUGUAAAAUAUAAUUUGAUAUAAACCAUUGAAAUUAAUACUAAAAAAUUCAUAUGAUACUAUGAAUAUAUGAAAGUAUUAAAAAAAAAAAAAAGAAAAAAAAAAAAAAAAAAAAAAAAAAAAAAAGCAUUUAUGAGAAUUAUAGUACAAAAUGUAUAUAUAUAUAUAUAUAUAUAUACACAUAAUUUUUUUUAUUGUUUUAAAGAGAUAUAUGAGAAAAUAACAUAAUUCCAAGAUAUCUGAUAUAAAAAUUUAUUUCUUUUGUUUCUUUCUGAUUGUUAAAAUAACGAAAAAUAACAAAGAUACAGUUUAUUUAUUUUUAUAUAUAAAAAAAUAAAAUAAAAUAAAAGCAAUAUAAACA
rnacentral:lncRNA from 1 species